ensembl:lncRNA
ACUUGAUCUCAGUCGGCCCCCAUGCUCCAGGGUCUUUUCUUUCUGCAUGCUGAGGACUAUUUGUAACUGAUAACUUGUUUUAUAACUUUUGUGUCUGUCUUUCCCACUGACCUUUAAACUCUGUUGGGAAAGGAGACAUCUGCUUUGUUCACCACUUACGUUUAGUCACGCAAAGUCUUCCUGGGUGAGCGGUUUCAUUCUACUUCUGGAAUUUCACAUGCACUGAGAAAAGGUCAUGUGAGUAACACAGUCUGCAAGCCAAGAAGAGCACUCUUACAGAAACUGCAUCAGUCAGCACCUUGAUGUUGGACUUCCCAACCUCCAGACUGAGGAAGAGAACCUGGAGGAAUAAGCUACUGGAGCUGUGAGCUAUCCUGGGGACCACAGAAUCCAUCCCCUCCCUUAUACUUUGAGGCAAAGACCCCCAAGAGCUACUGUGGCCUGACUGAGGUGUUUCAGCUACAUGACCACCUGCCAGAAAUGCUGUAGAAGAAAUGCUACAAAUUGGGUACCGUAGAAGACGGCAAAAACAGCUGCACUUAUUCUCUUCCUUUUUUACGGGGUCACAACAUCCUCACACAAGUCCAGCAGCACAACCAUGCAGCUGGAUUCGUGUUUUCACCAGCAAAGAACUGACGGUUUUUGAAAUUAGUGAGGAGGGGCUUGAUUUGUUCCGUAGCCCCUGCCAUGAAAGGCUUUACUCUUCUGGUCUCUAUACUUCAGGUUUCCGUCAUCUUUAAUGUACUUCUUGUAAGCUCCUUUUGUGAAGCUUGUUUCCUGCAAGUGAUGCUUCAUGACAGUAUGGACACCAGUGAUUACUGUGCUUUAGGUACCUUCGCCCCCUUCAGUGGAGCCAUUUCCAUCAAUGAGCCGAGCCAUCAGUGUUACCCUCUGUGCUACGACCAGCUUCCCCUCCACUUCCAGACACAGCCCAUCAGCGACCUCCUAGAUCUCGUAGAUGUUGGAGAACAUCCCAUCAUGC